rnacentral:tRNA from 1 species
GUGGCUAUAGGACAAUUGUAGUCCGGCAGAUUGUGGCUCUGCUUAUGGGGGUUCGAUUCCCCCUGGUCACCCCA